AGUGAACGCUGGCGGUAGGCCUAACACAUGCAAGUCGAACGGCAGCACAGUAAGAGCUUGCUCUUACGGGUGGCGAGUGGCGGACGGGUGAGGAAUACAUCGGAAUCUACUUUUUCGUGGGGGAUAACGUAGGGAAACUUACGCUAAUACCGCAUACGACCUACGGGUGAAAGCAGGGGAUCUUCGGACCUUGCGCGAUUGAAUGAGCCGAUGUCGGAUUAGCUAGUUGGCGGGGUAAAGGCCCACCAAGGCGACGAUCCGUAGCUGGUCUGAGAGGAUGAUCAGCCACACUGGAACUGAGACACGGUCCAGACUCCUACGGGAGGCAGCGGUGGGGAAUAUUGGACAAAGGGCGCAAGCCUGAUCCAGCCAUACCGCGUGGGUGAAGAAGGCCUUCGGGUUGUAAAGCCCUCUUGUUGGGAAAGAAAAGCAGCAGGUUAAUACCCCGCUGUUCUGACGGUACCCAAAGAAUAAGCACCGGCUAACUUCGUG
rnacentral:rRNA from 1 species